AACGGGGCGGGCGUGCUAUACAUGCAAGUCGAGCGGACCGACGGGAGCUUGCUCCCUUAGGUCAGCGGCGGACGGGUGAGUAACACGUGGGUAACCUGCCUGUAAGACUGGGAUAACUCCGGGAAACCGGGGCUAAUACCGGAUGCUUGAUUGAACCGCAUGGUUCAAUCAUGAAAGGCGGCUUCGGCUGCCGUUUACAGAUGGACCCGCGGCGCAUUAGCUAGUUGGUGAGGUAACGGCUCACCAAGGCGACGAUGCGUAGCCGACCUGAGAGGGUGAUCGGCCACACUGGGACUGAGACACGGCCCAGACUCCUACGGGAGGCAGCAGUAGGGAAUCUUCCGCAAUGGACGAAAGUCUGACGGAGCAACGCCGCGUGAGUGAUGAAGGUUUUCGGAUCGUAAAGCUCUGUUGUUAGGGAAGAACAAGUACCGUUCGAAUAGGGCGGUACCUUGACGGUACCUAACCAGAAAGCCACGGCUAACUACGUGCCAGCAGCCGCGGUAAUACGUAGGUGGCAAGCGUUGUCCGGAAUUAUUGGGCGUAAAGCGCGCGCAGGCGGUUUCUUAAGUCUGAUGUGAAAGCCCCCGGCUCAACCGGG
rnacentral:rRNA from 1 species